GACAGAGGAUGCAAGCGUUAUCCGGAAUGAUUGGGCGUAAAGCGUCUGUAGGUGGCUUUUUAAGUCUGCCGUCAAAUCCCAGGGCUUAACCCUGGACAGGCGGUGGAAACUACCAAGCUGGAGUACGGUAGGGGCAGGGGGAAUUUCCGGUGGAGCGGUGAAAUGCGCAGAUAUCAGGAAGAACACCCGUGGCUAAGGCGGUUCUCUAGUACGGUACUGACGCUGAGACGCGAAAGCGUGGGGAGCGAACAGG
rnacentral:rRNA from 1 species